AUUGUUGUUGUGCCCUGUCAUAUAAGAGAAUCCUCGAACGCACUUCAUCUCGAGAAGAAAGUUUCCCUCUGCGAUACAUGAUUCGGUGAAGAAAUCCAGGGAGGCAAGCAUGGUGUACAUAAAUUCGCGGGGCGAAGUCGUAGAACACAGGCCGUUCUUGGCCACCGUGAUAGAUUUUAUUUAUGGAUUUGUGGAGGGAAUUCAAAUGUUCUUCAGAACGCUCUUCGGAGGAACGGCACGACCCCAGACUCGACAAGCAGGGGGAUUGAGCAAUGAUAGGGGCGGGAGAGCUCCACCUCGGAGGAGGAUCGCGGGGUUAGGAACGGAUGGGGGCCCCGGUGCACCUCCUUGCGCACCAGGAGGAUGAGGUUAAAGAAUCCGAGGGACGGGUUGAGCACAGAAAGAGUCCGAAGCACCUG